rnacentral:lncRNA from 1 species
CUUCUUUUCAUCUUUGUAAGCUACUAUUCAGGAUUGGCCUGGAGUAAACCCAUCAAUCCGACAGGAAUGCUGAAUUAGUUGUUUAUGGGUGCGCAGUUUACCCGUGUGCGCAGUUUACCCGUGAAAUACGUUACGCACACUAGCUGACAAAGCACCAACCGAGGUCACGUGUGUCACGUGCCCGCGGGAUACAUGAAGUUUUCCGCAUUGCCAUUUGUAUUCCGGCCUUACACUAUUUGCUCAUUAUGAUCAUCACUUGGUGAGUGAUUGCCCGGGUCAAUGCAAGCAUAUAAAUGGAGACUUGUAGGUCGUCCACACCAAUACACCCUAGUGAGGCCCCUUGGUGACACGCCAGCACGCCAUUUAAUCCUUGUGCAAAGUUCGCCGGUGGGAUUCACCGGGACCACCGUGACUUGUUCACCAUGAAAGGGUGAUCCAUAGAUAUUAUUAAGAGCGUACCAUACCUGCCCCCGCUCUAUAACUAAGUUAUAGGUGAAGAACAUUUGAGCUGAGCAGGUUGAUACAGCCUCUGGGGCGGUAGAAAGCUUUAUAUCUACACCACCAUAAGAUUCAUAUAUACCUUCCGAAUAUUGGCUAUAUGGCCACUCAAGACUGAGAAAGAAAAAGCACCAAUAACAGUAAGGAUAGUGAAUAAGGUAUACAUUUUAUUUAAGGCUAUAGACAAAUAAUAU